rnacentral:misc_RNA from 1 species
GGCAUGAUUAGCAUUUGGAAUUCAGUUGUAUUAUUUCUGCUAAAAGGGGCUUACAGAAAGUGAAAGAGGUGCACCAAUAGGGGUCAGAAGUUCUCUGUCAGAUUAGUAGAACUAAUGGGUUCUAUUGAUCAGACAGCUUAACAAAGUAGUCCUAUUAUGUUAGAUAAAUACUCUGCCUUCAAGUACACGGUUAGACCUGUUUGCCUAUUUCUCUGCUUAAAGUGGUAUC